UAAAGUGAGCGGCCAAGGCCGAGCCAGGGCCAGAGGCCAGGUCUCCAACCGUUGGCCAGCCCAGCCUCUCCUCCAAGUCAGCAUCAGUGUAGCAAAAGGAGGGGUGGGCGUCGGCAGGAGCGCCGGGCGACUGAGGCCCCCGUCUUGGGGUGGGGGUGGACGAGGCGCGUCCUCGCUCCCCGGCGCUCCCGGGCCUGGGUCCUCUGCUCCGGUCCCGGCCCGCGAGUCCGCAGGAAGCGCGCCCUCAGCCCGCUCGGCGGGCGCGUGGGAGGCCUCGGCGGCGCAGACCCUGGCCCGCCCCCCUCCGGCGCGCCCUGCCCCACUCACCCACUCCCCGAGACCCGCGGCAAGAGCCGAGGGAGGCGCAGGCCCGCAGCGAGGCCCAGCCGUCCACGGGGAGACGACGCGCGCGGGCGGAAGUGCGCCGCCGGCCGUGCCCGCGUGAGGCCGCUCUAGGAGGCGCCGGAGGUCCGCGCUCGGUGGUUCCCGCCGGAGCUCAAGCGUGCCUGGAGGUUGGGCAGCGGCCCUGGGCACCUGCUCUGUCCUGCAGUGGGACUCCCUCUCUUUCACUCGCCCGCACCAGCGCGCUGGGUUCGAUGGUGGCGGUAACCCGUGAGGACCAGAGCCCCCAAGGCUUGGGACUUCCCUGGUGGCGCAGUGGUUAAGAUUCCCCCUGCCAAUGCAGGGGACAUGGGUUCGAGACCUGGUCCGGGAGGAUCCCACAUGCUGAAGAGCAGCUAAGCCCAUGUGCCACAACUACUGAGCCUGCACUCUAGAGCCUACGAGCCACAACUACUGAGCCCACGUGCCACAACUACUGAAGCCCGUGCAGCUAGAGCCUGUGCUCUGCAACGAGAAGCCACCACAAGAAGCCUGCACACCGCAACGAAGACCCAACGCAGGCAAAAAAAAUAAUAAUAAUUUAAAAAUUUCAUGCUCAUAUGUAGUGCUAGAUGCACUGGCAUUUGCUCACAUGCUCAAAGUGGUCAAAGUAUCCAACAGCUUCAUAACAGGAAUAGAAGUGCUGUGGAUGUGAGGUUUUUAAAACUACCUGGAUAGGGGGUUCAAGAUCCCGUUCUCCCCCUGACCCCGACUGCUUUGCUCAAUAAACCAUUAGAUCAUUUAC